CGGAGAAGGGGUGCGGGCGGGGGCAGAGGCCGUCCUUUGAACCCCGGAGGGUUUGAACAGCACUGGUUUACAGUCCCUGGAGUCUGGCUGACCUGUCCCCAGAGUGCAGGACUGCCUCGAAUGCCUCUCUUCUCAGUGAUGGUCAACAUGCUGCUGCUAGUCCGUGAUGCAGGCAUAGGCCAUCUCCUAGGGACCUGCAGCAGUUUGCCAAAGGUAGCAGCAGCUUGAAGACGUCCUCAAGCUCCAGAGAUCUACUCGGAGUGAGUGCAAGGCCUGGUCCAUCCAGAUUACAUUUACUGGCUCUUUUCUUUUGAUGCUUGGUUACAGAUUACAUUUACUGGCUCUUUUCUUUUGAUGCUUGGUUACUGUGUUGGUGUGUAGGGAGGCAAUCCACUCACAGCCAAAAACAAAACAAAACAAAACACCAAAACCCCAACCAGAUAAAAGAAUGAGUGUAUACAUAGGUGAGAAAGAGAAAAGUGUAUUAGUUCUAAUAAUACCUUACAUUUUAUAGCAGUAUUGGUAGCCUAAUACUGUAUGCUAGGUACUAUAGUAAGUGCUUGAGACGUAGUACCUUUCUGCAGUUUUGAAAGUGUUUUCUCACAUUAUCAGCUGUUUGCUGAGCUUUUGCCUCAGUUUCUUAGGCAUUGGGAAGCUGAAGACACAGUGGUCUAGAAAUAACAGAUUGAAAUAGACAAAAGAGUGAUUCAGAUUUAAGUGCACCAUCUGCAGACACAUCGGUCAGAGGUUGGCUUUUGUAUUACCAAUUACAUCAUCAGUAGAUUGUGUUUCACGAUUCUUUGGCUAGAGUCUUCAGAUUCCUGAGUCUGAGACCCUUUCCCUUGGGAAGAAGGGGUUCAGCUGCAGCAAGACCUCCUGGGUAUAACCUGAGAAGCUAAAAUUAAGGACCUCUCAUGAGUAAGCUACAUAUUUUUAUGGGAGAUUGGGAAGAGGGGCAGCUUACUAAGGUAUCCACCCAUCUGGUCCCCUCUUUCUGUCUCUCUGGAAAAUUACUGAGCAAUGUCAUAUAAAAACAGCCCCUAAGAUCUGAAGGUAUUUUGUAAUAGCCCCAGGGCAGGUAUUUUUAUCAUAAUUAUACACUAGGAAGCUGUAACUCAGA